AGGAGAUCAGCACAUAUGGCUAUUGAACAUUAAUAACAUAAAUAAAAGCCAAUUUACAAAGCAAUGUGUCACAUAUGCCCCUACUCUCAUAAACGUGCAUUUAUAUAUGUAUAUUUGUAUACAGGCAUGUAAACGUACAGCAAAAGUUUGAAAGGACACAACACUUAUAAUGGGAGGAGAGUGUGAAGGAUGACUUCCACAUUUACUCAAUAUACUUCUUUAAAAAACUUUUUACACGAGCAUGUAUUACUUUACAUAAGCAAGGAUUAAUUUAAUAAUUGAAAAAAAUGAAUAAAAUCUCACCAUAAAAUUUUAUGAGGUUAGGACUUAUCUUUAGUUCUAAUAAUAUAUCUUUUUGCUAUUUUUAUUUUUUUGUUGUUUGUUCAUAUUAUUUAAUUUUAGAAAAGAAGGUCUACAACUCAAAAAAUGUUCACUAUAAUUUAACAAGCUUUGGAAAGUGUUCCAAAUAUUCACAAAGCUUUAGGCACCUAAACUGUGGUCUCUAAACACCAUUUCCCUGAAAAGGUCCUCCUUAGAAAAAUGACUGACUCCAGGGUGAAAGCAAGAAAUAUACAGGAUGAACCUGGAACAUCUUAUCACACCAGAAAACAAGGGAGUUAUCAAAAGUUUUUAGGAUCAUGUCCAAAAGGAGGCAAUAUGAAUAACACCUCACUGGCUAAAUAUGGGAAAAUUUGUACAUCAGUAAGGAUAAUAACUGCAAAAAUAUAAAACAUAAAUUAUGCUUAAAUUCAAGAACUCAUAAUGAUACUAACACAAAUCAUCAAACAAGCCCACUGGCUGUCUUUGGAGCACUCUUGGGAACCAACUCGUCACCUUGCCUUUCUGUAUCUCAGGAUAACCAAAUAAUUAAUGAUAGUAAGUUUUCCUUUAUAGAAGGUUUCCAGCUAAUAAGUGAAGGAUAGGACUAGAUUGUCAUCAUUUUGUAACCCUAUUGAAUCAAUGGGUCAAGGUGAUGAUUGUCAAUGGCUAUUGAUAUCACAAAAAGAGACAACCAAGUAUGCACCUCCUGGUGGAAGUACACGACACUCGCCCUCCGAUAGCAAG
rnacentral:lncRNA from 1 species